GCCUGGGUAGCUCAGUGGAUAGAGCAGUAGUUUCCUAAACUAUUGGUCGCGGGUUCAAUUCCCGCCCCGGGUA
rnacentral:tRNA from 1 species